rnacentral:rRNA from 1 species
UGGGGAAUAUUGGACAAUGGGCGAAAGCCUGAUCCAGCCAUGCCGCGUGUGUGAAGAAGGUCUGCGGAUUGUAAAGCACUUUAAGUUGGGAGGAAGGGCAGUAAGCGAAUACCUUGCUGUUUUUACGUUACCGACAGAAUAAGCACCGGCUAACUCUGUGCCAGCAGCCGCGGUAAUACAGAGGGUGCAAGCGUUAAUCGGAAUUACUGGGCGUAAAGCGCGCGUAGGUGGUUCGUUAAGUUGAAUGUGAAAGCCCCGGGCUCAACCUGGGAACUGCAUCCAAAGCUGGCGGGCUAGAGUAGGGCAGAGGGUGGUGGAAUUUCCUGUGUAGCGGUGAAAUGCUUUGAUCUAGGAAGGAACACCAGUGGCAAAGGCGACCACCUGGGCUCAUACUGACACUGAGAUGCGAAAGCGUGGGGAGCAAACAGG